rnacentral:rRNA from 1 species
AGYUAAUGAUUAUUAGAUAAUAUUUCCGAAGAGUCGUGUUGCUUGAUAGUGCAGCACUAAGUGGGUGGUAAACUCCAUCUAAACUAAAUAUAACCAUGAGACCGAUAGUAAACAAGUACCGUGAGGGAAAGUUGAAAAGAACUCUGAAUAGAGAGUUAAAUAGUACGUGAAACUGCUUAGAGGUUAAGCCCGAUGAACUUGAAUAUCCAUUAUGGAAAAUUCAGCAUUAUAAUUUGUAAUAAUUUUUUUAUUAUAAAUGAUAGUGUGCAUUUUUUCCAUAUAAGGACAUUGUAAUCUAUUAACAUGAUAUAUAUUUAUCAAAAGAUUAUUAACACCAAGUUUAUGUAUAAUUAAUGUAAAUUAAUUUAUAUAAAUGUUGAUAAUUUGAUAAAGUGUUGAUAGAUUUAUUCAUAUAUAACGUAAAAAUUUCAUUAAGAAAUUUUAUAAUAACAUUUUUAAUUAUAUUUAACAAAUGUUUAUUAUAUACGAUUAUAUGAUUUACAAUGCGAAAGAUUCAAGAUACCUUCGGGACCCGUCUUGAAACACGGACCAAGGAGUCUAACAUAUGUGCAAGUCAUUGGAAUAUAUAACUAAAUCCAUUGGCGUAAUUAACAUAACUGUUAAUAAUGGGAUUAGUUCUUAUAUAAAAUUUUUAUAUUUGAAUUCAAUCCCGGGGCGUUCUAUAUUGUUAUGUAUAAUGAUAUUUUUAAUAUUAUUUAUAUCUCUAACAGGAACGUACCUUGAGCAUAUAUGCUGUGACCCGAAAGAUGGUGAACUAUACUUGAUCAGGUUGAAGUCAGGGGAAACCCUGAUGGAAGACCGAAACAGUUCUGACGUGCAAAUCGAUUGUCAGAAUUGAGUAUAGGGGCGCAAGACCAAUCGAACCAUCUAGUAGCUGGUUUCUUCCGA